AGGACGAACGCUGGCGGCGUGCCUAACACAUGCAAGUCACGGGGGCCAGUAGCAAUACUGGCAACCGGCGAACGGGUGCGUAACACGUAAGCGACCUACCUCGAUGUGGGGCAUAGCCGGCCUAACGGCCGGGUAAUUCCGCAUGUGAUCCUUGAGGGGCAUAUCUCGGGGAUGAAACCAGUAAUGGGCAUUGAGAGGGGCUUGCGGCCUAUCAGCUUGUUGGCGGGGUAACGGCUCACCAAGGCGACGACGGGUAGCUGGU
rnacentral:rRNA from 1 species